AGAUUCCGUCAAAUACAGAUACUGCACCAGACGACGACAACGUGGAGAUUAAUGGCCAGGAGGGUGGAUCGAGUGAGCGACAAAUAGAAGUAGUUGAUGAUGUUUCGAAUUAUGUUGUCGUCCCCCUUCAAGAACUUGAAAACAUAAAAACAGAGCUUAAAAGUAAACAUGAGUGUUAAAAUUGUGCCUCAUCAAAUUUGCAAAUACCAUUUGUAAUUUCUCCUUUUACAGAUUUACAAUUGACAGUGGCGGAAAACCUCGUACAAAUUAACGGGAAUUUGGAGGAAUUGCUGCGGCGGUCGAACCUCGUAGGUGGCAUAGUUGAGGAGAUAGCAUGCGACCACCCAACUCUCCCUGUGACUACUAUUGAGAAUUUUGACAAGUUGUCAGAGUGGAUAAAAACUCGAGAGAACAAAAUAAAGUUGGUUGCGAAACUAAGGAUUUUGGGCGGAGCAAACUCCGAGGAGAUAAGCAAACGCGUUUUGGAUUAUCUGUUUGCUAAGAAUAUUGCCAAAAUUGUAACUUUAACGGGGGUGGGAAAAGGGGUCUUGCGUGGUUUUCGUGAUUCCGGGCUUAUAGAUUUGAUCAAUAGUAGUGUUCGGGCAACUAGUGGUGGUGAGCAAUUUACAACUGCAAAGGCGGAAGCUGCAAUUAAGAAAUGGGUCAAAAAUAAAAGCGACUCGAGGGCGGAAACAAGAUGUCUGGGCGCGUCGCGAAGUCUCUCCGUUCCCAACAACGAAAACGACGAGAACAACUGAAGAGGUUGUUAGAAAAAAUGCGAGGUGCCCCGAGCGCGAAUAGUUUUAAAAGUACAAAUACUAAUACACGGAAUAUUAAUUGUUAUUCUCAUACAGAUUGUUUAGAUAAAAAUGUAAAUCAUUUAAAUUCAGGUCUAGCUUCAUCACAAACUAAUAUUAAUAUAGAAGACGAAAACGAAUUGUAUAUCGAUAUGUCACAAGAAACAAUUGUCCCUAUUGGCCAGGAAAUUAGGAGCUGGGUUUUAAAGCAUAAUGUAAACCACAGUUGUCUUAGAGAUUUACUAAAAAUUAUACAUGGUCAUAACAUUCCUUGCGAUUUACCCCUUGAUCCAAGGACUUUAAUGGAAACAACUCGAUUGGUUAAUGUUCAACAAGCUAGUGGUGGGUCUUUUGUCUAUUUUGGUAUUAUGAGUGGCGUAACAGAUCGUUUUCUAGCUGGUCUUCGUCCAUUGUCACAAUUUAGCUCCCCAAUACAUAUUAAGCUUCAGAACCAGGUACCUCAUCCAUUGCUUAGCGUAAGGAUUGGAGUGGAUGGGAUACCUGUCUCCAAAAGCAAUAACAAACAAUUCUGGCCUGUUUUAGGAGUUCUUGAUCAAAGCCAAUGCCAAACUCCAUUUGUUAUUGCUUUGUAUUAUGGAAAUUCUAAACCUACCGACCAACAGUUCCUUCAACCCUUUGUGCAAGAAUGCAAAGAAUUGGAAGAGAAUUGUAUUGUUGCUGGGAAGCCAUUUUCUUUUCGAAUUUCUGCCAUUCUUGCUGAUGCUCCAGCUCGCAGUUUUCU